UACGGGGGGGGCAAGCGUUGUUCGGAAUUACUGGGCGUAAAGGGCGCGUAGGCGGCCUUCUAAGUCGGACGUGAAAUCCCUCGGCUCAACCGAGGAACUGCGUCCGAUACUGAAAGGCUUGAAUCCGGGAGAGGGAUGUGGAAUUCAGGUGUAGCGGUGAAAUGCGUAGAUAUCUGGAGGAACACCGGUGGCGAAGGCGGCAUCCUGGACCGGCAUUGACGCUGAGGCGCGAAAGCGUGGGGAGCAACAGG
rnacentral:rRNA from 1 species